AGGGGGAAGAAGGCACAAAAGAGAAUUAAUCAGUCAAUUCAAUACUCACUGUAUCUCGUAAUACACCACCACAGGAACAUCUUAUAGUGUUUAGAUAUAUGCCUAAAAAACUUGGAUCAAUAGCAUGGCAACCUCAGUUGAGAAUUUUCUGGAUUUUAUACAAAUCUCACAGAGAGGACUCACGUAAUCAUGAAGCUGAACAUUCAAAACAAAGUAUAAUAUUAUGAGUUCAUAUUAAAAUGAAAAGGUGUGAACAUUGUGUAGGCAACUCUGUAACAAGAUUACAGUCCAGACAUGUUCCACUAUAUAAAAGGCUAGGAAAAAAAUAAAAUAAAUCAGAAAGACAACCUGACAACUUGCUUCACAAGUAGACAUUACUGUUAGAUAUCAAACAUCACAACAAGAUGAUCUCAUGAUUAAGUCACUCAUCAAUAUGGUUAUGCAGAAAACAAAUCACUUGGCUGCAUUUAUCUGAUGUUUGGGUGCUAAACAUCAACUGCUUUGACAUUAUAUCAUUUUUUGCUCAGUAUGCAAGCUUGCUGCGUUCAUCUGCAGGGUCAAAUGUGCUUUAAUAGAGGACUGAGUGGGACUGACACAGCUGGGACUCAACAGCACAAGGCCACGUGGGCCACAGUGGAGACAUGAUGAGGAAGGUGCUGCAUAAUAAAUCCUCCUAGCUCUGCAAUGCAUCAUAGCAAGUGUCAAUCAGAAAAGCUCAAGUACAGAAAUGGCAUAACACCACAAAUCAUCCUGGAUCCAGUUCUGAGCACAGCGGUUUGGCUGCACAGCGUCUUUACCUCAAGGACAUCUUCAGUCUGGUCUGACGUCAAAAUGUUGACUUUGACCUUCUGGCUGUUGGAUAAGUGCACCUCCAGCUGGACCUCUUCAGUGGGGAUCUGCUGUGUCUCCUGCGGAAAAGAGAAAACAGCAGACGUGCUAACAUGCACAGGAAAACUGAUCCAAAACAACAUUUAAUGGAGCUGAGGAACCGACGAGUGACCUCAGACAUACAGAGAGGCACUAAAGUACCAGGAAAAAACAGAGGAAACAACACUGUUCAACAGAGCACUCUCAAAAUGCCUCUUAUUCACACACACAGUAUUAGAAACAUUACAGAACAAAAUGACAGU